UCGGCCGGUGAGAGUGGCGGAAGGGCGAGGAACACGUGGGCAACCUGCCUUGAGGUGGGGAAAACCGUUGGAAACGACGGCUAAUACCGAAUGUGGCGCCGGGAGGCAUCUCCGCGCGCUAAAGGGGGCCGCAAGGCUCCCCCUCUUCGAGGGGCUCGCGCACCAUCAGCUUGUUGGCGGGGUAACGGCCCACCAAGGCUCACGGUUAGCUGGUCUGAGAGGAUGGCCAGCCGCACUGGGACUGAGAUACUGCCCAGACUCCUACGGGAGGCUGCAGUCGAGGAUCAUUCGCAAUGGGGGAAACCCUGACGAUGCGACGCUGCGUGGAGGAUGAAGGCCCUCGGGUCGUAAACUCCUGUCAUGAGGGAAAAGGCGAGGGGACCCAACACGUCCCUUAGUUGAUGGUACCUCAAGAGGAACGGGCGGCUAACUCUGUGCCAGCCGCCGC
rnacentral:rRNA from 1 species